rnacentral:rRNA from 1 species
CCUACGGGAGGCAGCAGUGGGGAAUAUUGCACAAUGGGCGAAAGCCUGAUGCAGCAACGCCGCGUGAGCGAUGAAGGCCUUCGGGUCGUAAAGCUCUGUCCUCAAGGAAGAUAAUGACGGUACUUGAGGAGGAAGCCCCGGCUAACUACGUGCCAGCAGCAGCGGUAAUACGUAGGGGGCUAGCGUUAUCCGGAAUUACUGGGCGUAAAGGGUGCGUAGGUGGUUUCUUAAGUCAGAGGUGAAAGGCUAGGGCUCAACCGUAGUAAGCCUUUGAAACUUGGAAACUUGAGUGCAGGAGAGGAGAGUGGAAUUCCGAGUGUAGCGGUGAAAUGCGUAGAUAUUAGGAGGAACACCAGUUGCGAAGGCGGCUCUCUGGACUGUAACUGACACUGAGGCACGAAAGCGUGGGGAGCAAACAGGAUUAGAUACCCUUGUAGUC